rnacentral:rRNA from 1 species
AGCAGCCGCGGUAAUUCCAGCUCCAAUAGCGUAUAUUAAAGUUGUUGCAGUUAAAAAGCUCGUAGUUGAAUUUCAGGCCUGGCUGGACGGUCCGCCCUUCGGGUGAGUACUGUCUGUGGUCGGGUCCUACCUUCUGGCGAAGCGUCAUGGCCUUAACCGGCCGUGGCGGGGAACCAGGACUUUUACUGUGAAAAAAUUAGAGUGUUCAAAGCAGGCAAUCGCUUGGAUACAUUAGCAUGGAAUAAUGGAAUAGGACAAUGGUUCUAUUUGUUAGUUUCUAGGACCGUUGUAAUGAUUAAUAGGGAUAGUUGGGGGCAUUAGUAUUCAAUUGUCAGAGGUGAAAUUCUUGGAUUUAUUGAAGACUAACUACUGCGAAAGCAUUUGCCAAGGAUGUUUUCAUUAAUCAAGAACGAAAGUUAGGGGAUCGAAGACGAUCAGAUACCGUCGUAGUCUUAACCAUAAACUAUGCCGACUAGGAAUCGGGCGAUGUUGAAAAAAUGACGC